AUGUCACCUUGCCUGGCUAGGAGAUGAGCUGCCGUGACCCUCUUACCCUUGUCCGGUGUGAGCUUCUGGAGGCCACUGAGGCAGAGCCAGAUGCGUCAGCUGCAGAGCUCCAGCCAGCGGCAGAAGAAGAGCAGUGGGCAGUGGUGGAGGUAGAGCUGGCUCCAGCUCCGUUGACACCACCCCCUCUAGCACUGGAGCCAGUGUCCCCUCCACCAGCAGUGUUGGAGGUGGAGCAAGGGCCAACAUGGGCUCCAGCAGGAGUAGGAGCUGCUUAGCUAGAGUCACCUGGACCAUCAUUUCUAGUGAGAAGUCCAUCUCCACCUGUGGCUCUUAAGGAGCGUGAGAAGCUUAAUCUCAUGGCCUUCCCUCCUAAGCUGGUGGUGGAGCAGUUUACCAUGAUGGAUGCGACCGUGGAGGUGGACAUUAAGAGGACCUGUUGCACAGAGUGACUGUGCCAACUCCAUGAGGUAGAAGAGACGGAAAGCUGGGUGGGCCCUGGCCCAUCUGUGCAGGGAAGGGCUCACUGUGUACAGCCUGGACCCUGGUGGCCCAACCGUCUGCUCAGGAGUCUCAACAGCCUCAGGACUUAUUAGACGCCUGAUGUGUACUCCACUACAAGGGAGACAGACAAGGCCUGUGGGUGUAGCUGCCACGCGGGGAUGUGCAUCAGAAUGUGGAGUGGGACCAGAGGGGGGAUCAGGGUAUUGGAAGAUGCCCCCUUGGGAUGAGCCUAGUUGAGCCACCAUCUGGAGCUUGGAGUUAGCCAGCACGGGCUGGGUUCAAAUGCCCCUCUCCCUUCCCUGCCAGUAUUGGGUCCUGGGUCAUCCUGUGCUGGGUGUCCUCAGUGGACAGAGAAGAAAAGCCAGGGACUCUCACAAGGCUCAGGCCACAUCCUGAGCUUUCUGAGCUCCAGCUCUAAACUGUGACUCCUGUGUGGGACUUUGGGGGCUGUAGGCACAGACCUG